AAGCUCUAGAGGCCCACAGGGAGGGAGGGGGAGAGAAUCACUGCCUGAGAGCAGGCGUAGUGCGGUGGACCCGGGCCCUGGGCAGCAUCCCAGGCACUCCGCGGACCACUGCAGACGCAGCCAUCUGUGAUUGUGAUUGAUAUUUCUCCUGUGAAUUCACACUAGCUGAUGUUCUUUCAUUGCAAACCGAGGAAUCUUAUUAUUCUCCAAGGAUAGAUGUGAACCUGUGGAGGACAAAAAGGCAUCAGAUCCCCUGGAACUGGAUGGCCAUGAGUGGUAACAUACAUACUGUGACCCAAACACAGCUCCCUGAACCUGAGAACACUGUGAAAAUGUCCAGACAGUCCUCGCUUCUACACAUGCCUGGCUUCACGGACAACACAAUCCGGAGCUUUCCUGAUAUCGCUUAUUAGGAAGCCCGAACACCUCUUUUCUGGAAUCAAAUGUUUAACAGGGAAGAAAACACUUUAUAAGUAUGCCACGGCUUUGAACAAGAUAAACAGCUAAACAAACAUUUCCAGACUCCACUCUGCAAGAGCCACUUCACUAGUCACAAUGGAACUUCAGACAGCCGUUCUUCUCUUUGAUUCUGAGGUCCCUGAGUGGUGAUGAUAAACAGAGGCGGAGAAGGUAGAGCACAUCACAGACAGAAGAUGGGCUUGUGUAUCUGCUGUCCCUGGAUCUCCUUGUCCAUCUUCCUACUGUGGAUGCAUUGAAUAAAUCUCCCUAGAAAAGAAUGUCACAGGCUUAUGAUUGACCACUUGGGUUGUCCACUGUGGAGGCUUGCCCUCAGAGAAGACUGUUUCAUCUUCUCUUAGAAGCAGUGCGUAUGAGUACCCCAUCAGUGGUUCUCUGUAUUAUAACCAAUUGUGAAUCUUACUGAUGGCCCCCAAUUCACUACAAAAAUCAAGCUUCUCUGAAGAGGGAUGAAAGCUAGACUUACUUGCAAACACCUUCGACUGGAUCCAUGGAACAAAAUACAGAUUUCCAAAAGAAAAACAUACAAAUUUGUGAACUAUAAAUGUUAUAUGACGAAGAUUACUUUAUAAGGUCUCAACGAUCAAGAUAAAUGUGGGACUUGAGUGUUUCAUAGGUUUGAUGCUGGCUGUAGGGCUGUGGAGAAGUAUGAGAAGACAAGGGAGAGUUGAGCUAAGACUCAUCCCUUCAGUUGUUCUUAGCAUCCUUCAGUCAUCCCCAACAAGAAUGUCCUUUUCAUGAAGGGUGAGGAGAGCACCUUUUAUAUGAAGAUUUCAUGAUCUUCUUCAGAGAAUGUCAGAAAGUCUUGCUUGUACCUGUUUUUUUUUUCUCUCAAAUCCUUUCAGCUUUAAAUAUUCAGUACCCCAGGGUGACACACACACACACACACACACACACACACACACACGUUGUCUUGAUCUUGAACAUCUCUUACCUGCCAUGAUGAAAUAUACUCUCACAGUGCUUCACAACAUAGGUGACCACUCCCUGCUAGAAUAUUCAGUCAAAAUCUGCUAUCCUAGCCUUAGUGCAGCCUGAGUUUAACAUCAAACAUCUAUUUUAUUUAACCACCUAAGUGAUAAUCAAACCUAACAUUUCAUGUAUCCUGCGACAGAAGCCCAGGGAAGACACAUUUGACAUUUGCUGUCAUUAAGCAUUUUCAGUUUUAUUUUUCCUGAUGCAGAUGAAUGAAGUGGGAGGAAGUUCAGUCCUGAAUAUUACAGCUUUAAAAGAAGUCACCAUUACUUUUGAUUGCUUAGAAAUUGUAGCAGCAAAGAGACCACCUAUGAGGAAAAUAGAGAUAAUUACAAACAACAAUUGCUGCUGUCAACUGCGGCACUCAUAACUCAGCCUCAGCGUGAAAAGCUUGUAACUAACACAUCAGAUAUUCAUCUCCUCUGUAUCACCAUUUUAGACUUGGAAACUAGACUAUAGCAAAGCCAAAGGUAAUAGCAGGAAAGGUUGGCAUUGAUGUCUUUGGUUUAGACUGCAUGAGAAGUUUCUAAUUACUCAAAAUCAAAGCCCAAAUGUUCAACUCUGCAGAAAAAAAAAAUGUAUUAUGUUAAGGUUAUGUAUCAAUCACCAUGGCAAUUUUUUUCCUGUACCUCAGCAUUUCCUAUAGAUGGCACUUGAAUCAUUUUGUUUAUUUUGCUCAGCUGUAUAAGGAAUAGCACUUCACCGCUGAUAACAUGCCUUGAAUUGCCAAUUCUAAAGCCAUUUAAGAGAAACUUCAUAGCUCCUAGAUAGAAGUAUGUGUCUUUCAGUAGCCCAGCAGUCAAUUAUAUUGGACACUUCUAUAGUAAAGUAAUUGUGACUUACUUAUGAAGACUCACUUUUUGAAACAGUUAUUUAUUUCACUUCCUGUGAAGCAUUUUUAAAAGCAUAUUUAAUAUUGGGGCUUUUUAGUAAAUGUCAUUUUCCUUUCUUAUUUAUUUUGCUUUAAUGUAUCACAUGUCCACACAAUAAGCAGCCACCAAGACAAAUCAAGUCAUAUAAAAAGGAAAGUGUAUAUUUUAGGUAUAAUGGAUUAAUCUGAUAAAAUCAAAAUACUUUAAUAAAAAAUUCUUUUUAUUAUUAAAUGACUUUUUUUUUAAUAAUGCAGAUUUAGAUAAUAUGCUUACUGCUUUUUUGGUGUCUUUGAUUUGUAGCCUGGUAACACAAAUUCCACAAGUCUGAUGUGUCGAUUGACAUACAGAAAUAAACUGCCUUGUUUAUUU